rnacentral:rRNA from 1 species
CCGGCGCACGGGUGAGUAACACGUAUGCAACCUACCCUUUAUCGGGGGAUAACCCGGAGAAAUCCGGACUAAUACCGUAUGAAGAUAUGUUUUCUCAUGAGAAUAUAUUUAAACGACAAGGAUAAAGGAUGGGCAUGCGUAUGAUUAGUUAGUUGGUAGGGUAACGGCCUACCAAGGCGACGAUCAUUAGGGGUUCUGAGAGGAAGGUCCCCCACACUGGUACUGAGACACGGACCAGACUCCUACGGGAGGCAGCAGUGAGGAAUAUUGGUCAAUGGGCGAGAGCCUGAACCAGCCAAGUCGCGUGCAGGAAGAAUGUCCUAUGGAUUGUAAACUGCUUUUCCGGUAGAAUAAAAUGAUCCAUGUAUGGAUUUUUGCAAGUAUACCGGGAAUAAGGAUCGGCUAACUCCGUGCCAGCAGCCGCGGUAAUACGGAGGAUCCGAGCGUUAUCCGGAUUUAUUGGGUUUAAAGGGUGCGUAGGCGGAUGGUUAAGUCAGUGGUGAAAUUUUUGCGCUUAACGUAAACAUUGCCGUUGAAACUGGUCAUCUAGAGUGCAAAUGAGGUAGGCGGAAUGUGUUGUGUAGCGGUGAAAUGCAUAGAUAUAACACAGAACCCCGAUUGCGAAGGCAGCUUACUGGGAUGCAACUGACGCUGAAGCACGAAAGCGUGGGGAUCAAACAGGAUUAGAUACCCUGGUAGUCCACGCAGUAAACGAUGAAUACUAACUGUUUGCGAUAUAAAGUAAGCGGUCAAGCGAAAGCGUUAAGUAUUCCACCUGGGGAGUACGUUCGCAAGAAUGAAACUCAAAGGAAUUGACGGGGGCCCGCACAAGCGGAGGAACAUGUGGUUUAAUUCGAUGAUACGCGAGGAACCUUACCCGGGCUUGAAAUGCAAUCGACGAUAGUGGAAACACUAUUUCCAGCAAUGGCGAUUGUGUAGGUGCUGCAUGGUUGUCGUCAGCUCGUGCCGUGAGGUGUCGGCUUAAGUGCCAUAACGAGCGCAACCCCUAUCGAUAGUUACCAUCGGGUAAUGCCGGGGACUCUAUCGAGACUGCCACCGUAAGGUGUGAGGAAGGUGGGGAUGACGUCAAAUCAGCACGGCCCUUACGUCCGGGGCGACACACGUGUUACAAUGGGGGGUACAGAGGGUUGCUACCGUGCGAACGGAUGCUAAUCUCAAAAAACCUCUCUCAGUU